GACGAACGCUGGCGGCGUGCUUAACACAUGCAAGUCGAACGAUGAAGGAGAGCUUGCUCUCCGGAUUAGUGGCGAGCGGGUGAGUAACACGUGACUAACCUGCCCCUUUCUCUGGGAUAACGCUCCGAAAGGAGUGCUAAUACCGGAUACGAACUCUGAACACAUGUUCGGAGUUGGAAAGUUUUUCGGAAAGGGAUGGAGUCGCGGCCUAUCAGCUUGUUGGUGAGGUAACGGCUCACCAAGGCGACGACGGGUAGCCGGCCUGAGAGGGCGACCGGCCACACUGGGACUGAGUCACGGCCCAGACUCCUACGGGAGGCAGCAGUGGGGAAUAUUGCACAAUGGGCGAAAGCCUGGUGCAGCGACGCCGCGUGAGGGAUGAAGGUCUUCGGAUUGUAAACCUCUUUCAGUAGGGACGAAGCGAAAGUGACGGUACCUAAAGAAGAAGCACCGGCUAACUACGUGCCAGCCGCCGCCGUAA
rnacentral:rRNA from 1 species